rnacentral:rRNA from 1 species
GACGAACGCUGGCGGCGUGCUUAACACAUGCAAGUCGAACGGAAAGGCCCUGCUUGCAGGGUACUCGAGUGGCGAACGGGUGAGUAACACGUGGGUGAUCUGCCCUGCACUUCGGGAUAAGCCUGGGAAACUGGGUCUAAUACCGGAUAGGAGCCAUUUUUAGUGUGAUGGUUGGAAAGUUUUUUUCGGUGUAGGAUGAGCUCGCGGCCUAUCAGCUUGUUGGUGGGGUAAUGGCCUACCAAGGCGGCGACGGGUAGCCGGCCUGAGAGGGUGGACGGCCACAUUGGGACUGAGAUACGGCCCAGACUCCUACGGGAGGCAGCAGUGGGGAAUAUUGCACGAUGGGCGCAAGCCUGAUGCAGCGACGCCGCGUGGGGGAUGACGGCCUUCGGGUUGUAAACUCCUUUCGCUAGGGACGAAGCUUUUUGUGACGGUACCUAGAUAAGAAGCACCGGCUAACUACGUG